AUUGAACGCUGGCGGCAGGCCUAACACAUGCAAGUCGAACGGUAACAGGAAGCAGCUUGCUGCUUUGCUGACGAGUGGCGGACGGGUGAGUAAUGUCUGGGAAACUGCCUGAUGGAGGGGGAUAACUACUGGAAACGGUAGCUAAUACCGCAUAACGUCGCAAGACCAAAGAGGGGGACCUUCGGGCCUCUUGCCAUCGGAUGUGCCCAGAUGGGAUUAGCUAGUAGGAGGGGUAACGGCUCACCUAGGCGACGAUCCCUAGCUGGUCUGAGAGGAUGACCAGCCACACUGGAACUGAGACACGGUCCAGACUCCUACGGGAGGCAGCAGUGGGGAAUAUUGCACAAUGGGCGCAAGCCUGAUGCAGCCAUGCCGCGUGUAUGAAGAAGGCCUUCGGGUUGUAAAGUACUUUCAGCGGGGAGGAAGGGAGUAAAGUUAAUACCUUUGCUCAUUGACGUUACCCGCAGAAGAAGCACCGGCUAACUCCGUG
rnacentral:rRNA from 1 species